UCCAUGGGGAGUGCGGUUUCCCCACGAGGCUUCGGCCGAACGAUCGCGUCCCGACCCCCCUGGUUUUCCCGUCGCGACCGUCGAGGCUGCCUGAUG
rfam:Prosthecomicrobium hirschii strain 16 C1, whole genome shotgun sequence.